UAGAUCAGGAAAUUCGAAUAUAGUGUCGU
rnacentral:sRNA from 1 species